UUGGCUGGUUGAGUCUCCAGUCGG
rnacentral:siRNA from 1 species